AGGCCAUGGUGCGGACAGGCUCUCAAAAGUUCUUUAUAUCUUUCCUAGGCAUCAAAAAGUGAUUCGCCUUGGUUUUGAGUGAAACUAGUGAUCAAGUUCCUAAGGAC